rnacentral:rRNA from 1 species
GUACACUCCUACGGGAGGCAGCAGUGGGGAAUAUUGCACAAUGGGCGCAAGCCUGAUGCAGCCAUGCCGCGUGUAUGAAGAAGGCCUUCGGGUUGUAAAGUACUUUCAGCGGGGAGGAAGGCGAUAAGGUUAAUAACCUUGUCGAUUGACGUUACCCGCAGAAGAAGCACCGGCUAACUCCGUGCCAGCAGCCGCGGUAAUACGGAGGGUGCAAGCGUUAAUCGGAAUUACUGGGCGUAAAGCGCACGCAGGCGGUCUGUCAAGUCGGAUGUGAAAUCCCCGGGCUCAACCUGGGAACUGCAUUCGAAACUGGCAGGCUAGAGUCUUGUAGAGGGGGGUAGAAUUCCAGGUGUAGCGGUGAAAUGCGUAGAGAUCUGGAGGAAUACCGGUGGCGAAGGCGGCCCCCUGGACAAAGACUGACGCUCAGGUGCGAAAGCGUGGGGAGCAAACAGGAUUAGAAACCCGAGUAGUCCCAUGAU